rnacentral:tRNA from 1 species
GCGAGCGUGGCGGAAUCGGAAUACGCGGCCAAUUUGGGAUUGGCUUCCCUAGCCGGAUUGCGGGUUCAAAUCCCGCCGCUCGCA